AUUGAACGCUGGCGGCAUGCCUUACACAUGCAAGUCGAACGGUAACGGGCCUUCGGGUGCCGACGAGUGGCGAACGGGUGAGUAAUACAUCGGAACGUGCCCGAUCGUGGGGGAUAACGAGGCGAAAGCUUUGCUAAUACCGCAUACGAUCUACGGAUGAAAGCAGGGGACCGCAAGGCCUUGCGCGGACGGAGCGGCCGAUGGCAGAUUAGGUAGUUGGUGGGAUAAAAGCUUACCAAGCCGACGAUCUGUAGCUGGUCUGAGAGGAUGAUCAGCCACACGGGGACUGAGACACGGCCCAGACUCCUACGGGAGGCAGCAGUGGGGAAUUUUGGAUAAUGGGCGCAAGCCUGAUCCAGCCAUGCCGCGUGCAGGAUGAAGGCCUUCGGGUUGUAAACUGCUUUUGUACGGAACGAAAAGCCUUCUUUUAAUACAGGAGGGUCAUGACGGUACCGUAAGAAUAAGCACCGGCUAACUACGU
rnacentral:rRNA from 1 species